rnacentral:misc_RNA from 1 species
UUUCCGUAGGUGAACCUGCGGAAGGAUCAUUAAAGGGUAAGGGUCUUCGGGCCCGAUCUCCAACCCUUUGUUUAACUACCAUGUUGCUUUGGCGGGCCCGUCUCACGACCGCCGGAAGUUUGGCUUCGACCAAACUUCUGGCCCGUGCCCGUCAGUGGCCCCUUCAAAUUCUUGAUCAAGUAUGAUGUCUUAGUUAAAAACUUAAUAGUUAAAACUUCCAACAACGGAUCUCUUGGUUCUG